GCAUAUCAAUAAGCGGAGGAAAAGAAACUAACAAGGAUUCCCCUAGUAACUGCGAGUGAAGCGGGAAAAGCUCAAAUUUGAAAUCUGGCAGUCUAUUUUUUCUUCUUUGGCUGUCCGAGUUGUAAUCUAGAGAAGUGCUUACCUGCACUGGACCAUGUAUAAGUCUCCUGGAAUGGAGCGUCGCAGAGGGUGAGAAUCCCGUCUUUGACAUGGACCGCCAGUGUGUUGUGGUGUGCUCUCAAAGAGUCGAGUUGUUUGGGAAUGCAGCUCUAAAUGGGUGGUAAACUCCAUCUAAAGCUAAAUAUUGGCGAGAGACCGAUAGCGAACAAGUACCGUGAGGGAAAGAUGAAAAGGACUUUGGAAAGAGAGUUAAACAGUAUGUGAAAUUGUUGAAAGGGAAACGCUUGAAGUCAGUUGUGUCGGCUGGGGAUCAACCUAGCUCUUUUGCUGGGUGAAUUUCCUAUUCUGACAGGCCAACAUCAGUUUCGACCGCUGGAAAAGAGCGGAGGGAAUGUGGCACCUUYGGGUGUGUUAUAGCCCUUUGUCAUAUGUGGCGGUCGGGACUGAGGGAUGCAGCGUGCCGCGAGGCUGGGUUUCGACCACGUUCACGCUUAGGAUGUUGGCUUUUAAUGGCUUCAAUCGACCCGUCUUGAAACACGGACC
rnacentral:rRNA from 1 species